rnacentral:rRNA from 1 species
UGGGGAAUAUUGGACAAUGGGCGCAAGCCUGAUCCAGCCAUGCCGCGUGUGGGAGGAAGCUCUUCGGGGUGUAAACCACUGUCAGGAGGGAAGAACGGCGCUGGUUCGAACAGUUCCGGCGAUUGACGGUACCUCCAAAGGAAGCGCCGGCUAACUCCGUGCCAGCAGCCGCGGUAAGACGGAGGGCGCAAGCGUUGUUCGGAAUUACUGGGCGUAAAGCGCGGGCAGGCGGUCUGUUAAGUCGUUUGUGAAAAUCCGGGGCUCAACCCCGGAAAUGCAUACGAUACUGGCAGGCUGGAGACUGGUAGAGGCUAGCGGAAUUCCUGGUGUAGCGGUGGAAUGCGUAGAUAUCAGGAAGAACACCUGUGGCGAAGGCGGCUAGCUGGGCCAGUUCUGACGCUGAGGUGCGAAAGCGUGGGG